rnacentral:misc_RNA from 1 species
CUAGGGAGUAUUUUUCUUAUAGGUUUGUUGGUGUAUCGACGCUGUCGGGUGUCUCAGGCUGUAUGCCUGGGCGCUUAACACGGCAACGCAGCAAGCAAGGUGUUUGUUUGUUGUGUUGUGGUGUGUGUUGUUUGUGAACUGUAUAGUGGAUGCGAGCAUAUUUUUUGUAUUGUUUGUUUGGUCGUGUUGGUGUGUCUGUCUGUGCGUGU